rnacentral:RNase_P_RNA from 1 species
UUCUAGACGAUCGCUGGUGGCUUAGUCCACGAGAGGAAAGUCCGGACUCCGCAGGGCAUCGUAGCAGUUAACGGCUGUCCAUCGUGAGAUGAGGAUUAGAGCAACAGAGACGAGCCGACGUUAGGGUCGGGUGAAACGGGCAAUCUCUACGAGGAGCAAUACCAAAUAGGCAACCUAUGGUUCGGCCCGAACUGGUUGCGGGUAGGUAGCUUGAGACGGCGAGUGAUCGCCGUACUAGAUGAAUGAUCGUCACUUAGGAGUUCGCGCCUAGGAACAUAAUCCGGCUUAUCGGUUAACUCU